rnacentral:rRNA from 1 species
UCAAGCUAUAAAGAGCAUAGGGUGGAUGCCUUGGCACCAAGAGCCGAAGAAGGACGUGGUCAGCUGCGAUAAGCCAUGGUCAGCCGCAAGCAGGCAAUGACCCAUGGAUUUCCGAAUGCGGAAACGCGGCACGUUAACAGCGUGUCAUCAUGUCAUGAAUAAAUAGUGACAUGAGGGGAACCCGGUGAACUGAAACAUCUAAGUAGCCGGAGGAAGAGAAAGAAACAUCGAUUUCCUUAGUAGCGGCGAGCGAAAGGGAAAGAGCCCAAACCGAGGGUCUACGGACGUUCGGGGUUCGGACUUGCAAAAAUCGAAGUACUUAUAGACGAAGAGGUUUGGAACUUCCUACCAAAGAGGGUAACAGUCCCGUAGUCGAAAUGAGUACAAGAGGGCGAGAAUCCAGAGUACCACAGGACACGAGUAAUCCGGUGGGAAGACGGGGGGCCCACCCCCCAAGGCUAAAUACUACUUGGUGACCGAUAGCGUAUAGUACCGUGAGGGAAAGGUGAAAAGAACCCCGGGAGGGGAGUGAAAGAGAACCUGAAACCCUAUGUUUACAAGCAGAGGGAGCGAAAGCGACCUCGUACUUUUUGUAGAACGGGCCGGCGAGUUACUGUGUGCAGCGAGGUUAAGGCGUAGAGCGCCGGAGCCGAAGCGAGAGCGAGUCUGAAGAGGGCGAAAGUUGUGCGCAGUAGACCCGAAACCGGGUGACCUAUCCAUGGACAGGAUGAAGCGGCGGUAAGACGCCGUGGAGGUCCGAACCACACGUAUGUUGAAAAAUGCGGGGAUGAGCUGUGGAUAGCGGAGAAAUUCCAAUCGAACUCGGAGAUAGCUGGUUCUCCCCGAAAUAGCUUUAGGGCUAGCCUCGAUUUAGAUUACCGGGGGUAGAGCACUGAAUGGGCUAGGGGGCCACAAAGCUUACCGAACCCUAUCAAACUUCGAAUACCGGAUAAUUGAUGAUCGGGAGUCAGACAGUGUGAGAUAAGUUUCAUUGUCGAAAGGGAAACAGCCCAGAUCUACGACUAAGGUCCCAAAGUUCAAGUUAAGUGGAAAAGGAUGUGCAAUUGCGUAGACAACCAGGAUGUUGGCUUAGUAGCAGCCAUUCAUUCAAAGAGUGCGUAAUAGCUCACUGGUCGAGUGAUUGUGCGCCGAAAAUGUAACGGGGCUAAACUUGACACCGAAGUCUAGGCAGAAGGAAACUUCUGGGUAGGGGAGCAACGUGUACGGGCAGAAGCAGAAGCGGAAGCGACUGUGGACUGUACAGGAGAGAGAAUGCCGGCAUGAGUAGCGAGAGCAAAGUGAGAAUCUUUGCCGUCGAAAGCCUAAGGUUUCCUGAGGAAGGCUCGUCCUCUCAGGGUAAGUCGGGACCUAAGCCGAGGACAAUAGUCGUAGGCGAUGGACAAUCGGUUAAUAUUCCGAUACCGCCGAGCAACCGGAUGCAGUGACACAGAAGGAUAGGCAGAGCGUGGCGAUGGUAGACCACGUCCAAGCAGUGAGGCUGUUGUGUAGUGAAGUACGCACAACGGAAGGCUGGGCUGUGAUGGGGAACGAUUACGAUCGGUAAGCUGCUGAAUUCACGCUGGCGAGAAAAGCUGCUACGAAGCGAAGGCGCCCGUACCGCAAACCGACACAGGUAGGCGAGGAGAGAAUCCUAAGACGAGCGGGAGAACCCUUGUUAAGGAACUCGGCAAAAUGACUCCGUAACUUAGGGAGAAGGAGUGCCCAGGAAUGGGCCGCAGAGAAUAGACCCAAGCGACUGUUUACCAAAAACACAGGUCUGUGCGAAGUAGAGAUACGACGUAUACGGGCUGACACCUGCCCAGUGCCGGAAGGUUAAGGGGAAAUGUUAGGGCAACCGAAGCAUGGAACUUAAGCCCCGGUGAACGGCGGCCGUAACUAUAACGGUCCUAAGGUAGCGAAAUUCCUUGUCGGGUAAG